GUAGCAAAAUCUGGUUUUGCUAGUGACCUAAACUCUCUCCAUAGAAGUUCAAAUCUUCUCCCCAGCU
rnacentral:tRNA from 1 species